GACGAACGCUGGCGGCGUGCCUAAUACAUGCAAGUAGGACGAGUUGCGAACGGGUGAGUAACGCGUGGUAACUGCCCCCCUCUCUGGGAUAACAGUUGGAAACGGCUGCUAAUACCGGAUAGUGGGGGAUGACUCGCGCCCUAUCAGCUUGUUGGUUGGGUAGUGGCCUACCAAGGCGACGAUCCCUAGCUGGUCUGAGAGGAUGACCAGCCACACUGGAACUGAGACAGGGUCCAGACUCCUACGGGAGGCAGCAGUGGGGAAUAUUGCACAAUGGGCGCAAGCCUGAUGCAGCCAUGCCGCGUGUGUGAAGAAGGCCGUCGGGUUGUAAAGCACUUUCAGCGAGGAGGACGUUCUCGCAGAAGAAGCACCGGCUAACUCCGUGCCAGCCGCCGCGGUAAUAC
rnacentral:rRNA from 1 species